UACGCAGGGGGCAAGCGUUGUCCGGAACUAUCGGGCGUAAAGGGCGCGUAGGCGGCCAGGUAAGUCAAAGGUGAAAUCCCUCGGCUCAACCGAGGAACUGCCUUUGAAACUACCUGGCUCGAGGCCGGGAGGGGGUAGCGGAAUUCCCAGUGUAGCGGUGAAAUGCGUAGAUAUUGGGAGGAACACCGGUGGCGAAGGCGGCUACCUGGACCGGUUCUGACGCUGAUGCGCGAAAGCGUGGGGAGCAAACAGG
rnacentral:misc_RNA from 1 species